rnacentral:rRNA from 1 species
ACACGACUACAUUAGAUACCCGCGUAGUCCUAGCCGUAAACGAUACUCGCUAGGUGUCGGCCACGGUGCGACCGUUGUCGGUGCCGUAGGGAAGCCGUGAAGCGAGCCACCUGGGAAGUACGGCCGCAAGGCUGAAACUUAAAGGAAUUGGCGGGGGAGCACCACAACGGGUGGAGCUUGCGGUUUAAUUGGAUUCAACGCCGGAAAUCUUACCGGGACCGACAGCAACAUGAAGGCCAGGCUGAAGACUUUUGCCGGAUUAGCUG